rnacentral:lncRNA from 1 species
AUGACUUUGAAUCCCAAAUCCCAGGAAUCAUAAUUUAUCAUGACAACAUGAUCUUUCGCAGCAACAACAGUUCAUCACAGCCCCAACAUAAUUUUGCAGCAAAGAUAACGCAACACAAGUACUUCUGGAAUAGCUCAAGAUCAGUUAUAAUUUCGCAUACAGAUAUAUCCAUCUUUUGGUGUCAUGAUCAUCUAUCUUUGAGAAUCUGAGAGAAAGUUAUCCCUCCAGCUUGUUUAUUGUUGCUUCUUUUGGUGCUUGAGAACCUGAUGAAACAAAAAGAGAUGAAUAUUAGAGUGCCUUCAGAAUAACUUAUAACUAUAAGUUUUGCUAGAUGAACAUUAGAGUGCCUUCUGGAACAUAAGUAGGCCUGUAGUACAUCAAGUUUCAGGAAUAGAACAAGCAAGGAGUAUUGUACUUGUAGUAGGAGCAUUGUACUACUAGCAAGAAACAAGAAAUAAGUUUGUUGGCAAAAUUAUGUAUUCUAAGCUACAGAAUGGUCGUCAUCCAUAACUUAUGAAGAGUUGAGGUUUCAACGCUCAAGAACAAGUCCAUUAUAUGACAAAAUAAUAAGCCACCACGCCUAACGACAUCCAUGCUCCGAGCACCGCCACCCAGAUGCAGCAAGGAUGGACAAGCAUCGUCAUGCCACUAAUCUCAUCAUUGCAGUUCACAUACCCAAGCACUCUCUUAAAAAAGGCAUACUCAAGUCAAGCAUUCAAACUUCCGAAGUUAGCUAUCGUUCAGUUAAACAUAAAACCCAAACAUUCCAACUUCCCAGUUUAGCUACCGUUCAGUUUCAGGAAAAAAAGGAGUUACUUCCCCACAAAAAGAAAACGGAGAAAGGAGUCAGCUAGCUUUCUUGCAGACUAUACGUACGUGUGAAACAUAGAAUCAGAUCACGCAAGUUAUACAGCAGGUCAUACAUAUGUUUAGAAAACAAAAUAAAGCAACAGCCAGCAGAUAAUCUUGAGCAGAUGCAGCAGAGUGAGCUACAAUAUGAAAAAACCACUGCAACUAUGUAAGCCACAACACCCAUACAAAUACAUGAAAACAUCGCCACACUUCGCCAACAGCAAACCGCCUGAUGCCUAUGUAUUAUAUAUAGGGGUGGAACGAAGUAGUCCCAAAUUUAAAAUAAAUAUAGGAGUUCAGGAGAGACAAAGUUGAGUUGUUAUAAAUACUGCAAAUGGGGUUGUGUGUAUGUGCAGGUUCGCCUCAAGGCACACAACCAUGAGAUGAACUAUAGUGCGAGUUUUUUGCCAGGAGCUUCAGAGCACAAAUAAGUUUAGACAGAAUUGCCAGAGUUUUCUAGACAGAUUCAAACAUGUAGACUAGACAGAUUCUGUCAUAUGUAAUAACUCGGCACCACCAAAAACCUUGGCAGAUUUGAUUUGAUUUGUUAGCCGUACUACAACAAAAUGAGGGAGUGCUAAAUGAUAGUGACACUAGGUUCAUGAGAUAUUAUAUUAUCAACUAGAUAGAUGUUCACAGGAGCAAGAACAACAAUCUUAGUUUUCAUGAAGUGGGGCAAAAUGUCACAAGAGAAAUGGAGUAAGGUACCUUACCUUAAGUACGUUGAGUCAACUCUGCCAUUUCGCUCCGAAGAAACACUGCAGCACUCUCUUCAUCUUCGGCGGCAGAAUUAAGAAAGAUCUCACGGUUCUCAACACUUUUGAACACUUUGUAGGCAGUGGCUCGUUCAUCGCGGCGGAUGCUUUCCAUCUUGUGCAAAACAGCAAUGCACUUGCUGAUGGAGAAUUCUUGGGCAUUUUUUGCCCCGACCAAUAGAGCAGACUCUUCCGCUUGCUUUCGUUUGAUCUCCACAUAUUGUGCCAUCACUUCCACCAUAGGAUCAUCACGCUUCUUACCCUUCUUUGAUUCCUUCACAUGCUUGUUGCUUGAAGUAGCAGCACCACCUCUUUGUGUAGCAUCUCUUGAACCAUCACUUGGGGCAGCACCUCUUGGACCAUCACUUGGGGCAGCAUCACUUGAACCAUCACUUGGGGCAGCAUACUUGGACCAUCACUUGGGGCGGCAUCUCUUGGAUCAUCAUACAUGUGUAAAUCAUCACCGUAUUGAUUCAGGUCAAAAGAGAAGGCAGUCUUCUCUCUUUCAACUUCGAGAUCACCAUCACUCACUUCUGUAACCUCAGUUGAUGUGAAAUUGAAGUUACCUUCUGCUAUAUGCCCUGCACAAACACCCAAGUUAUCAUUAAAGGCCACACAGCAAUGAAAUGAAAAUUCAUUAUAAAGGACAACAAAAAGAGAGGAAAUGAAAAUCCAUUCAACUCAGUAACUCACCAUCAUACAGAUCACCAAGCUUAUCGUAGAGGGGAAAGGGCUUAUUCUGGAACUUAGCAAUUUCUGGCCACGACUGUAUAUAUAAAAGAAAUGAUUUAUCAAACUUAGACUGCUCAAAAAUAAGAUUGAUUACAAAAGAAUGGAAUACAAGUCAUCAAGUUUUGCAAAGACAAAAUGUACAAGAAAAAGGCUAACUUCUCCUCCACCUUAAUUCUUUUAUCCGAUAUCAGAUUUUCUCUUCUAAGGUAAGAUGCCAAAGCCCGAAAGAUACGUGGCUCCAUCCUAUAAGCUACUAGGCAAUUCUUCACAUGGCCUGUAAGGAUAUCAUCAACCCGCUUCUUGCCAUAUAAGAUGGAGCUAUGACGCUGAGUUCUCUCGAUUGGCCCUCUACUACGCAUUCGAUGCAAUACGGACAGAAUAAAGGACAUCAUAUCUUCAUCAUCCUCGCUUCUCCUCUUCCUAAUUCGAUCGAUAAUCUUGGAGUUCAUCUCAGCACUAAAACUAGAAUCAGGAAGCAACAAAUAAGAACUACAUUUUAAUGGUUUACUUGACUUGAAGCAAAUUAUUAAUAAGACAUACACACAUAGUAAGACUACAAGAGCCAUCAAGUAGGAUAUAGUACUUCGGUUAAGACAUGAUAGAAAUAAGGUCAAGAGGCCAAAAAGUUGGUGUAUAUUACCGAAUUUAGGCGUGACAACUGGAUCCCAAGAUGGACGCAACUCGUCCACCCCAACAAGAAUCCAAGCAGCAGGCCUCUGUCAAAAUAAGACAUACCAGCAGCAUGUAAGAUGACACACAAUCAUUCAUAUAUACUAUAGAAACAAACAUCCCUACUGCAUUGUUCCACCAACACUCGCGGAGAAUUAACCAAAAGUUACAUAUUACCGGGGAAAAGGCCAGCUCUUCGGUCGGGGUUAAGGAGGCUGAUGGUGGUUGAGCGUGGAAGAGGCUGCAAGGUCCAUGGAGGGAGAAUAAGUUAGCAAGGUCCAUUACAUAGAUUCAGUUCAAUGGAAAUGCUAGCUAGCUAGAUAAUAAAUGAAUGACAGAAAUGAAGUGAGAUAAUCUAAAUCUUAUGAUAAAUAAUUCUGAAUGUUGACAAAUAACUUGAGCACAUCAACCAUGUAUAGAUGUGUGUAUGAGUAUAUGAAAGACAGACUGGAAGAUAAUAACCUAGCAAUUUUUUUAUAACGAAUCAUCACAAUCUGUAGGUGACACAGAAAAAAUAUGACAUCUCCCUCGAAUGGGCUCAUUUUUCAUUGUUGUACAUUACUGUUGGCCUGAGGAACUGCUGAAAACAAAUUGUAGUGCCUCUCAAGUUUGUUGUCAUUGCACUGGAACACAACAUUUACAUUACUUUCUAAAAAGAUACGGCAGUAUUCAGUUUAGAUGAAUAGAAAAGCCAGUGUUGGUAAGAUCGUCACUGAUAUAGAUAUAGUAGUACCACAGAAACUACUACUACUUGCAGAUAAGCAGAGUCAGCAGCAGAGAUACAUCAGCCAGCCACAAUUGUCACGGCAAAACUAGUUCAGUAGAAUACUAAAUUGAACAUGGACAAGUCUUUGGCCCUGGAAUAAAUUUACUCUUAAAAUAAGAAGAUAUCCAAGCGGUAGGAUUCUAUCAAAAUAAGAACAUAUCUAAGUUGAGAACACAGGGAGAAGAUAGCACAAGGCCAUCCUAUCCUGUACACUGCGGCAUGCAUGUUCCUGUGAGAGCAUGUUCAUUUUGAUUGUAUCCUGUACAUUGUUGUACUAUGUCACACAAAUAUGUAGGAGUGAUCCGACUACUCAUCAUAGAAAUCUCAUAUGAGAACAUCCAUCCAAAAAUUUCAUGACCAAAUUAUACUGAAAAUCAGGUUGGCAUCCAUCCAAAUAUAUUAUACAAAUUGCAUAUGUAAUCAGGGUAGUUCUAAUACAAUGUAAGAUGCAUGGGAGUUGCGUGUUGCAAGAAAAAAGCAUCAGUCUAUUAGGACAAAUCAAGUAACGGACAUGCUUCAGAAUUCAAUUUCAAAAACCAAUAAACACCAAAAUUUGGUAAUGGUAUAUAUAUCAAGCAUGAAUACAAUUUAUGUAAACACAAAAUCACAAGGGAGGAUUUUAUGUUCUAAUCAUAUGACUAUAUUACAAAAGCGAGCAAAUGAGAAAGCAUAUGUCGAACAUUCAUAACACUGACAGCUGGUUAUCAAGUACAAGUAUCCGCUUCCAGCAAACCCUGUACAUACCAAGUUGCCGACUAAUGAUCACAUUGUCAAGUCAGAUUAAGCGAGUCAGUAGUUAGUUCCCCAGAAAAAGUGCAGAGCAUAUAUAUAUUGAGCGAUAUACAUGACCAUAUCCACUAGAAUUAGAAAUGGUUGUGCUCUCCUUGACAAGGAGCAAAGCAAGAAACAGUUGUGAUAGAUAGUGACAUCGUAGACACACUGUACAGUACAGGCAAUUCCCUGCAAGAUCUUAACAAGUCACUAUCUGCAAAAGCUCUUGAGAGGAUAGUGGAAACAAUUUAACUCAUUAUCUGCUCAUUAGCUAUACACUAAGAGCAAACUGAUUUACUUGUUUACAUGGUAGCUUACAGGCCAACAUUGGCAGGUUCAGAAAGAGUAAUUUGGCCAUUAACACGAGAUGUUCAACAAAUCCUACAGUACGACGAGCAAUCACCAUCACCAUCAGAAAAUCACGGCAAUCUCGCCGGAUAGGGUUAGGGUCCAUGUGGAGUUAGGGGUAGGAGACGGCGUUCUUGGCGAGCUUGCCGGUGAUGACGAGGCGGACGGAGGACGUGCGGGAUGUGGCAGCCAUGGCGGCGGGGAGAGGAAGGGGGAGGAGGGGAGGGGCGGGGCGGCGAUGACUUACCACCGGGGAGAAGGCCAGUAUGCUGGAGGAGUGACACCGGCGUUGAGGCGUUGAGGCGUCGGGGCGUCGGGCAGACUCGGGCGGCGGCGUCGGCGCUCCUCCUCUCACCGGCGGGGCUCCUCCCCUCCGUGGCGGCGGCGUUGAAGAUCCGGCAGCGGGGCUCCUCUCAGUGGCGUGGAGGAGGCUGGCGGCGUGCGCUGGGACGAGAGAUUCCCUGAGUCCUUCGACGAGGGUUAUGAGUCUCGUGGGUUCGGGAGGAUCGAAGGGGAUUAGAGAGGAUCGGCCCAUGCA